rnacentral:rRNA from 1 species
AUCCUGGCUCAGAUUGAACGCUGGCGGAAUGCUUACACAUGCAAGUCGAACGGUAGGAGGGGGCAACCCUUGAGAGUGGCGAACGGGUGAGUAAUAUAUCGGAACGUGCCCAGUCGUGGGGGAUAACGUAGCGAAAGCUACGCUAAUACCGCAUACGAUCUAUGGAUGAAAGCGGGGGAUCGCAAGACCUCGCGCGAUUGGAGCGGCCGAUAUCAGAUUAGGUAGUUGGUGAGGUAAAGGCUCACCAAGCCGACGAUCUGUAGCUGGUCUGAGAGGACGACCAGCCACACUGGGACUGAGACACGGCCCAGACUCCUACGGGAGGCAGCAGUGGGGAAUUUUGGACAAUGGGCGCAAGCCUGAUCCAGCAAUGCCGCGUGCAGGAUGAAGGCCUUCGGGUUGUAAACUGCUUUUGUACGGAACGAAACGGUGAGCUCUAAUACAGUUUGCUAAUGACGGUACCGUAAGAAUAAGCACCGGCUAACUACGUG